rnacentral:rRNA from 1 species
UACGGAGGGUGCAAGCGUUAUCCGGAUUCACUGGGUUUAAAGGGUGCGUAGGAGGGCAGGUAAGUCAGUGGUGAAAUCUCCGAGCUUAACUUGGAAGCUGCCGUUGAUACUAUCUGCCUUGAAUAUUGUGGAGGUGAGCGGAAUAUGUCAUGUAGCGGUGAAAUGCUUAGAUAUGACAUAGAACACCAAUUGCGAAGGCAGCUCGCUACACAUAUAUUGACUCUGAGGCACGAAAGCGUGGGGAUCAAACAGG